rnacentral:lncRNA from 1 species
AUGCCUGCCUCAUCCCGAUCCAGACACAAACGACAUGGCGCAUCCUCUGGUCUUCACUCAGUUCUUUCCGCGCUGAAGACGACGGUUCAGAAGGGAAGAGGCCGCGGAAGCCAGCUGGGCUGUGUCCUGGAGGGCUCCAGGGUGUCGGGCGGUGGGAGACGGGGGUCAGCACCGUUGCUGUCGGCAGGACGCCCCCGACUCCAUCUGGGAAUCGCAGAGCCUCAUUGUGAGUACUUGUGGCAGAGGACAUGGUUGUGUGCGUGUGUGCGAGUGAGUGGAGCAGUCGUUCUUGGAAACUGGAGGGAGGAGACAAGGAGGCUUAAGGAAGUACUACAGAUGGUUCCUGGUGGCUGGCACAGCACGGGUCCCCCGGCCAAUCCUGGUCAGUGCCAAGGGCAGGGGGCACGGGGGACUGUCGCUGUUGCCGGCCGGCCGGCCUGCCAUACGGCUGCAAGGACAAGAAAACAGGAGGAUAUAGCCAGGCCCCCUCGGCUGGCGGGGAGACCUCCGCAGAGCUCCCAGCCCGGGCACGCGCGGUGCUGGCCCAGUGACCGCCGCAGCUCGUCCCAGCCGCGGGGACGUCGCGGGCUUCUCCCUGUGUGUGUGCUCUCUCUGGUGUGUUGCGCAGAUUGCCAGCGGGGAAGCCUCCGCACUGAGCAGGCCAGAGAUGUCCCUACCAAGUUGGAGAGGAAGGUGAAGCCAUCCCUUUCUGUAGCCAAAGAGCCCCUUCUCAGAGAACCCCAGAGGCAGACGAGCUGGCACCCCCACUCCUCUUCGGGCAGUAAUGACAACGCUGGUGAUGCCACCCAUCCCUCCUUGUCUCUCCUCUCUUGCAUGUGUUUCGAGCCUGCACGCGUCCCUUGAGAGGCUGUGGGCGUGGUCCUGAAUGUUGCUGCUGUCAGGAAGGAAGGCGUGGGGUUCUCGGGGGGCCUCGUGCUGCCCUCGGAGCGGCAGGACUCUCGUGCGAUGCCCUAGUCCCUGCCCCGUCCCCCUGCAGGCCAGCUUCAGUGCAAUCUUGGGCCCUGAGAUGGAAUUUAGCCCGAGAGAAGCCAGCCUCUCACAGGCGUUUGGUGUCAUGGCUCGUGUGGUGGCCCCAAAAGUUCCAGAG